ACAGUGGACUGUGGAGACACAAACACACCUCUUCUUCUUCCCACUCGGCUGUUCCGCUGUCGGCAUUCUUCUUUCCCCAAAUCAAAAGCAAAUCCUAGCCGCCGCUACCACUGUCUUCACCACUCACCAGUCAGCCACUUCCGCCACCACCGCUGCCGCCCUUCAAUUGAAGGGCCCUUUCUCUCCGAAUCCCAGUUUGUUGGCCAGCGUUAGAAGCAGCUACGGUAGACAUUUCAUCAGCUCCGGAGGGUCUCGCGAACAGGAACAACCUCCGAUAACUCCCCUCUGGCUCUCGCCACCACUUCGCCUUUUCAAGAAUCGCUGCCCGAAACAGCUUCUUGCACGAAAAUUGUGUAUUUGACAUCCGAGUUAAGCUUCUCUUGUGGUAACAGGAUGAGCAGCGAGUGUAGUUAUUAGCAUUAUUAAAGGUAAUGGGUUCGGAAUUUGAAUUAGUUGAGGAGAGAUUGAAGACUUUUUUGGGUCAGCUGCAGACAGAAUUUGCAAUUCUCGAUAGAAUUGUCUACAAAAAUAAGAAUCAGCAUCGAAGGUGCUCUUAUUUUCAGUACCUGCUUAAGGUUAGAAGGGAUUUGAGGCUUCUGCAAUCAGCAAAGUUGGAGGAAAUCUUGAAUUCCUGCUUUCUGGUAAUCCAUGGCAAAAGGCCUAAACAAAAACUGCAGCUUUUGAAAGG